rnacentral:rRNA from 1 species
UGGGGAAUCUUGCGCAAUGGACGAAUGUCUGACGCAGCGACGCCGCGUGUGGGAUGAAGGUCUUCGGAUCGUAAACCACUGUCGGGGGGGACGAAGGCCCGGCGCCUAAUACGCGACCGGGAUUGACGGUACCCUCAAAGGAAGCACCGGCUAACUCUGUGCCAGCAGCCGCGGUAAUACAGAGGGUGCGAGCGUUGUCCGGAAUCACUGGGCGUAAAGGGCGCGUAGGCGGCUGGGUAAGCCGCGUGUGAAAGCCCGGGGCUCAACCCCGGAACGGCACGCGGGACUGCUCGGCUCGAGUAUGGUAGAGGCGAGUGGAAUUCCAGGUGUAGCGGUGGAAUGCGUAGAGAUCUGGAAGAACACCGGUGGCGAAGGCGGCUCGCUGGGCCAUUACUGACGCUGAGGCGCGAAAGCGUGGGGAGCAAACAGGAUUAGAUACCCGCGUAGUCC